rnacentral:lncRNA from 1 species
UUUGAAAUCUGGCAUUUGAUGAGUCAGCCAGGGAGAAAAUGGAAACACAUUGUGAGAGGUUCCUUCUGUGAAAAAAGUGCAACUUUGUGACAUGAUACGCCUUCCUGACUGUAUAUACCUGGGCAGCAUACAGCUUAUUGCGGCAUAAAAGAAACAUAUCAAGAUAAUUUUGAAUCGGAUUGUGUGCUGGAAAAAUGGCCUUACAUCCAAAGGAGUGAAAUUUGGAGAGUCAUUUGCCAUCUACUUAAGCCAUCCUGGAAUAUGAAGAAAUAAGACUGCUUUGACAACAUCCUGAUCCUCGUGUUCAGAUCUUUUGUGAUUUCUUGUGAAGAGUCUUUGAUUUUUCAUAAAAAUAAAAAUUAUAUUAAUAUAA